rnacentral:rRNA from 1 species
AGCGAACGCUGGCGGCAGGCCUAACACAUGCAAGUCGAACGAACAGUCCGGGGUUAGUGGCGGACGGCGGAGUAACACGUGGGAACGUGCCCUUAGGUUCGGAAUACCUCAGGGAAACUUGUGCUAAUACCGAAUGUGCCCUUCGGGGGAAAGAUUUAUCGCCUUUAGAGUGGCCCGCGUCUGAUUAGCUAGUUGGUUGAGGUAAUGGCGCACCAAGGCGACGAUCAGUAGCUGGUCUGGGAGGAUGCUCAGCCACAUCGGGACUGAGACACGGCCCAAACUCCUACGCAAGGGAGCAGUGUGGAAUGUUGCGCAAUGGGGGGAAGCCUGACGCAGCCAUGCCGCGUGAAUGAUGAAGGUCGUAGGAUUGUAAAAUUCUUUCACCGGGGACGAUAAUGACGGUACCCGGUGAAGAAGCCCCGGCUAACUUCGUG